rnacentral:misc_RNA from 1 species
GGAAGCAACUGUGGUUCAAUUUUGCAACAGUUGUUGUAUGCUCAGCUUCUAUACUUUUUAUCAUCACUCUAUAUUUCAUGAGCAAGCCAAGAAAAGUUUACUUGGUUGAUUAUGCUUGUUACAAGCCAGAACCAUCUCAUAAGUGCACCAGAGAGCAUUACAUGCAGCUAUCUGCAAGGACAGGAGUGUUCACAGAGGAAAGUUUAGCCUUUCUAAGGAAAAUCCUGGAGAGAUCUGGGAUUGGUCAGACGGCAUAUGCACCCAACGGCUUGUUGCAAAUCCCUCAGGACCAGUCCUUGGCUGAGUCAAGAAGGGAGACAGAAAUGGUAAUGUUUGGAGCCGUUGAUGAGCUCUUGGCCAAAACUGGUGUGAACCCUACAGAUAUAGGAAUACUCAUAGUGAAUAGCAGUUUGUUCAAUCCCCAGCCUUCUCUCUCAGCCAUGAUUGUCAAUCGUUACAAGUUAAGAGGGAAUAUUUUGAGCUAUAGUCUUGGUGGUAUGGGUUGUAGUGCUGGACUUAUUUCUAUAAACCUCGCCAAAGACCUUUUACAGGGACACCCAAAAUCUUACGCCUUGGUGGUAAGCACAGAAAAUAUCACUCGCAAUUGGUAUAGGGGCAACGAACGGCCAAUGCUUGUCACAAACUGCCUAUUCCGUAUAGGAGCAGCCGCCAUUCUCCUAUCCAACCGAUCAUCUGAUCGCCGGCAUUCUAAGUAUCAGCUCAUCCAUAUCGUGCGGACCCACAAGGGUGCUGAUGAU